AUUCCUCGCUGGCGGAAAUUCUGAAUGGGUAUAACAUGAGAAAAAUAGAAAACAGAAGCCAUGGAAGCUGAACAUACAAAGCUUGGGAGCUCUCUCCCGGUGCCUUGUGUGCAGGAGCUGGCAAAGAAGCCACUGACAAAAGUUCCACCGCGUUAUUUGCGUCCUGAUGAAGACUCUCCAAUCAUAUCUAAUGCUGCUUCUCUACCCCAAGUUCCUGUAAUUGACAUGCAAAAGUUAUUUUCCCAAGAUUUCAUCGAUUCAGAGCUGGAUGAGCUCCAUCUCGCAUGCAAAAACUGGGGUUUCUUCCAGCUGAUAAAUCAUGGAGUGAGCAGUUCAUUAGUGGAAAAAGUGAAGGUGGAAAUUCAAGAAUUCUUCGAUCUCCCAAUGGAAGAGAAGAAUAAGUAUUGGCAAAAACCAGGAGAUAUGGAAGGAUUUGGACAGGCUUUCGUUGUGUCAGAGGAGCAGAAGCUUGACUGGGGAGACAUCUUCUACAUGAUCACCCUGCCACAUAAUCUGAGAAAGCCUUACUUAUUCCCCAAGCUCCCUCUCCCAUUCAGGGACACCUUGGAAACUUACUCAGAAGAAAUGAAAAAUCUUGCCAUGAAAAUCUUCAAUCUCAUGGGAAAAGCUCUAGGAAUGGAAGCUGAAGAAAUGGGAAAAAUAUUUGAGGAAGGGUGCCAGAAAAUGAGAAUGAACUACUAUCCUCCAUGCCCACAACCUAAGCUGGUCAUGGGCCUCAAUUCCCAC
rnacentral:misc_RNA from 1 species